rnacentral:rRNA from 1 species
UACGGGGGGAGCAAGCGUUGUUCGGAUUUACUGGGCGUAAAGGGCGCGUAGGCGGCCACCGCAAGUCGACUGUGAAAUCUCCGGGCUUAACCCGGAAAGGUCAGCCGAUACUGCGGGGCUAGAGUGCAGAAGGGGCAACUGGAAUUCUCGGUGUAGCGGUGAAAUGCGUAGAUAUCGAGAGGAACACCUGCGGCGAAGGCGGAUCUCUGGGCCUGUCCUGACGCUGAGGCGCGAAAGCGUGGGUAGCAAACAGG